GCAAGAAACAAGUCGGAAAUCGGA
rnacentral:miRNA from 1 species